CCUCGGAUCAGGUAGGGAUACCCGCUGAACUUAAGCAUAUCAAUAAGC
rnacentral:rRNA from 1 species